UGGGAUGUGGCUCAGUGGUGGAGCCCUUGCCUACCAUGCAUGAGGCCCUGGGUUCAAGCCCCAACACCACAG
rnacentral:tRNA from 1 species